rnacentral:rRNA from 1 species
GACGAACGCUGGCGGCGUGCUUAACACAUGCAAGUCGAACGAAGUGGCGAACGGGUGAGUAAUACGUGAGUAACUGCCCUCCUUUUUGGGAUAACAGUUGGAAACGGCUGCUAAUACCGGAUAGUGGGGGAUGACUCGCGUCCUAUCAGCUUGUUGGUGGGGUAGUGGCCUACCAAGGCGACGACGGGUAGCCGGCCUGAGAGGGCGACCGGCCACAUUGGGCUGAGAUACGGCCCAAACUCCUACGGGAGGCAGCAGUGGGGAAUAUUGCACAAUGGGGGAAACCCUGAUGCAGCAACGCGCGUGCGGGAUGACGGCCUUCGGGUUGUAAACCGCUUUCAGCCAUGACGCGGUAGUGGCAGAAGAAGCACCGGCUAACUACGUGCCAGCAGCCGCGGUAAUUC